rnacentral:rRNA from 1 species
UUAAGCGACUAAGCGUACACGGUGGAUGCCCUGGCAGUCAGAGGCGAUGAAGGACGUGCUAAUCUGCGAUAAGCGUCGGUAAGGUGAUAUGAACCGUUAUAACCGGCGAUUUCCGAAUGGGGAAACCCAGUGUGUUUCGACACACUAUCAUUAACUGAAUUCAUAGGUUAAUGAGGCGAACCGGGGGAACUGAAACAUCUAAGUACCCCGAGGAAAAGAAAUCAACCGAGAUUCCCCCAGUAGCGGCGAGCGAACGGGGAGCAGCCCAGAGCCUGAAUCAGUGUGUGUGUUAGUGGAAGCGUCUGGAAAGGCGCGCGAUACAGGGUGACAGCCCCGUACACAAAAAUGCACAUGCUGUGAGCUCGAUGAGUAGGGCGGGACACGUGGUAUCCUGUCUGAAUAUGGGGGGACCAUCCUCCAAGGCUAAAUACUCCUGACUGACCGAUAGUGAACCAGUACCGUGAGGGAAAGGCGAAAAGAACCCCGGCGAGGGGAGUGAAAAAGAACCUGAAACCGUGUACGUACAAGCAGUGGGAGCACGCUUAGGCGUGUGACUGCGUACCUUUUGUAUAAUGGGUCAGCGACUUAUAUUCUGUAGCAAGGUUAACCGAAUAGGGGAGCCGAAGGGAAACCGAGUCUUAACUGGGCGUUAAGUUGCAGGGUAUAGACCCGAAACCCGGUGAUCUAGCCAUGGGCAGGUUGAAGGUUGGGUAACACUAACUGGAGGACCGAACCGACUAAUGUUGAAAAAUUAGCGGAUGACUUGUGGCUGGGGGUGAAAGGCCAAUCAAACCGGGAGAUAGCUGGUUCUCCCCGAAAGCUAUUUAGGUAGCGCCUCGUGAAUUCAUCUCCGGGGGUAGAGCACUGUUUCGGCAAGGGGGUCAUCCCGACUUACCAACCCGAUGCAAACUGCGAAUACCGGAGAAUGUUAUCACGGGAGACACACGGCGGGUGCUAACGUCCGUCGUGAAGAGGGAAACAACCCAGACCGCCAGCUAAGGUCCCAAAGUCAUGGUUAAGUGGGAAACGAUGUGGGAAGGCCCAGACAGCCAGGAUGUUGGCUUAGAAGCAGCCAUCAUUUAAAGAAAGCGUAAUAGCUCACUGGUCGAGUCGGCCUGCGCGGAAGAUGUAACGGGGCUAAACCAUGCACCGAAGCUGCGGCAGCGACGCUGAUGCGUUGUUGGGUAGGGGAGCGUUCUGUAAGCCUGCGAAGGUGUGCUGUGAGGCAUGCUGGAGGUAUCAGAAGUGCGAAUGCUGACAUAAGUAACGAUAAAGCGGGUGAAAAGCCCGCUCGCCGGAAGACCAAGGGUUCCUGUCCAACGUUAAUCGGGGCAGGGUGAGUCGACCCCUAAGGCGAGGCCGAAAGGCGUAGUCGAUGGGAAACAGGUUAAUAUUCCUGUACUUGGUGUUACUGCGAAGGGGGGACGGAGAAGGCUAUGUUGGCCGGGCGACGGUUGUCCCGGUUUAAGCGUGUAGGCUGGUUUUCCAGGCAAAUCCGGAAAAUCAAGGCUGAGGCGUGAUGACGAGGCACUACGGUGCUGAAGCAACAAAUGCCCUGCUUCCAGGAAAAGCCUCUAAGCAUCAGGUAACAUCAAAUCGUACCCCAAACCGACACAGGUGGUCAGGUAGAGAAUACCAAGGCGCUUGAGAGAACUCGGGUGAAGGAACUAGGCAAAAUGGUGCCGUAACUUCGGGAGAAGGCACGCUGAUAUGUAGGUGAAGUCCCUCGCGGAUGGAGCUGAAAUCAGUCGAAGAUACCAGCUGGCUGCAACUGUUUAUUAAAAACACAGCACUGUGCAAACACGAAAGUGGACGUAUACGGUGUGACGCCUGCCCGGUGCCGGAAGGUUAAUUGAUGGGGUUAGCCGCAAGGCGAAGCUCUUGAUCGAAGCCCCGGUAAACGGCGGCCGUAACUAUAACGGUCCUAAGGUAGCGAAAUUCCUUGUCGGGUAAGUUCCGACCUGCACGAAUGGCGUAAUGAUGGCCAGGCUGUCUCCACCCGAGACUCAGUGAAAUUGAACUCGCUGUGAAGAUGCAGUGUACCCGCGGCAAGACGGAAAGACCCCGUGAACCUUUACUAUAGCUUGACACUGAACAUUGAGCCUUGAUGUGUAGGAUAGGUGGGAGGCUUUGAAGUGUGGACGCCAGUCUGCAUGGAGCCGACCUUGAAAUACCACCCUUUAAUGUUUGAUGUUCUAACGUGGACCCGUGAUCCGGGUUGCGGACAGUGUCUGGUGGGUAGUUUGACUGGGGCGGUCUCCUCCUAAAGAGUAACGGAGGAGCACGAAGGUUGGCUAAUCCUGGUCGGACAUCAGGAGGUUAGUGCAAUGGCAUAAGCCAGCUUGACUGCGAGCGUGACGGCGCGAGCAGGUGCGAAAGCAGGUCAUAGUGAUCCGGUGGUUCUGAAUGGAAGGGCCAUCGCUCAACGGAUAAAAGGUACUCCGGGGAUAACAGGCUGAUACCGCCCAAGAGUUCAUAUCGACGGCGGUGUUUGGCACCUCGAUGUCGGCUCAUCACAUCCUGGGGCUGAAGUAGGUCCCAAGGGUAUGGCUGUUCGCCAUUUAAAGUGGUACGCGAGCUGGGUUUAGAACGUCGUGAGACAGUUCGGUCCCUAUCUGCCGUGGGCGCUGGAGAACUGAGGGGGGCUGCUCCUAGUACGAGAGGACCGGAGUGGACGCAUCACUGGUGUUCGGGUUGUCAUGCCAAUGGCACUGCCCGGUAGCUAAAUGCGGAAGAGAUAAGUGCUGAAAGCAUCUAAGCACGAAACUUGCCCCGAGAUGAGUUCUCCCUGACCCUUUAAGGGUCCUGAAGGAACGUUGAAGACGACGACGUUGAUAGGCCGGGUGUGUAAGCGCAGCGAUGCGUUGAGCUAACCGGUACUAAUGAACCGUGAGGCUUAACCUU